rnacentral:rRNA from 1 species
GCUGGCGGUAGGCUUAACACAUGCAAGUCGAGCGGUAACAGGCAUUUUGAUUCAGCUUGCUGAAUCUCGCGCUGACGAGCGGCGGACGGGUGAGUAACGCGUAGGAAUCUACCUAGUAGAAGGGGAUAGCCCGGGGAAACUCGGAUUAAUACCGUAUACGUCCUUAGGGAGAAAGAGGGCUUAGCUUUGAUGCUCUCGCUAUUAGAUGAGCCUGCGUAAGAUUAGCUUGUUGGUGAGGUAAAGGCUCACCAAGGCUACGAUCUUUAGCUGGUCUGAGAGGACGAUCAGCCACAUUGGGACUGAGACACGGCCCAGACUCCUACGGGAGGCAGCAGUGGGGAAUAUUGGACAAUGGGCGCAAGCCUGAUCCAGCCAUACCGCGUGUGUGAAGAAGGCCUUCGGGUUGUAAAGCACUUUAAGUAAGGAAGAAAAGUAUAUUAUUAAUACCAAUGUACCGUGACAUUACUUACAGAAUAAGGACCGGCUAAUUCCGUGCCAGCAGCCGCGGUAAUACGGAAGGUCCAAGCGUUAAUCGGAAUUACUGGGCGUAAAGCGCGCGUAGGUGGUUUAUUAAGUUGGGUGUGAAAGCCCCGGGCUCAACCUGGGAACUGCAUCCAAAACUGAUUCACUA